ACGGGAGGCAGCAGUCGGGAAUAUUGCGCAAUGGAGGAAACUCUGACGCAGUGACGCCGCGUAUAGGACGAAGGUCUUCGGAUUGUAAACUAUUGUCGUUAGGGAAGAAAAAGGACAGUACCUAAGGAGGAAGCUCCGGCUAACUACGUGCCAGCAGCCGCGGUAAUUCGUAGGGAGCAAGCGUUAUCCGGAUUUAUUGGGUGUAAAGGGUGCGUAGACGGGAAUUUAAGUUAGUUGUGAAAUCCCUCGGCUCAACUGAGGAACUGCAACUAAAACUGGAUUUCUUGAGUGCUGGAGAGGAAAGCGGAAUUCCUAGUGUAGCGGUGAAAUGCGUAGAUAUUAGGAGGAACACCAGUGGCGAAGGCGGCUUUCUGGACGGUAACUGACGUUGAGGCACGAAAGUGUGGGGAGCAAACAGGAUUAGAUACCCUGGUA
rnacentral:rRNA from 1 species